UUGGGCCAAACCUUCUCCCCCAAUUAAACCUGAUUCUUUUUGCACGCUCUCUUCUCUGGAGAUUCAAACGCCAUAUGGAAAAUUGUUGCUAAUAUCCACUCUCAUCAUCGUCAGAUUUUAUCAUCAUCUUUGUUCUUUUACAUCUUUCUUCUUCGUAAGAUUUCUGCCGCUUCCAUUAUCGUCACUUCUGCCUCUGCCUCCACCUUUACUGAUUUUUUUAGGCCCGUUUGAAGCACGGUUGAAAGUUGGAGACAGGCGACGCUGGUCAGAAAUUAGGGUUUACUCAACUUCUGAACGCACAUUCGAAGAUGGGGGAGUACUGGCCAGAAAUCUAUCCUGAGAUUUACGUACAAGCAACAAGGGAAAGACCCUAUUUCAGCAAACAAUGUCUUUUUUUAUGUCACUUGAAGAUUUUUGGUGUUAUUGACAGGUUGUUAUUGAAGAUGUCUCGUGUGUAUGUUUGUAAUCUGGAUCCAAGGGUCAGUGAGCGAGAAAUUGAGGAAGAAUUCCGCACUUUCGGUGUCAUUCGCAAGUAAGCGUGGGAAUUAACUAUUCAAUUCUUGAAUUUUAAGUUGUUAAUGAAGUUGUAUGUAGUGUAAACUGUCAUUGUUGUUUAUUGUGGAAAAUUAGUUUUAAGGGUUAUCUUUAUUCUCCAUCAGCAACAACCCUAGAUCUCUGGCCGUCUUCUAAAUUGUUCAUUUUCACUAUGGCGAUUUAAUCUUUCUAUUUCAUCUACAAUCUUUAUCAUCUUGAUCGUGAAAGUUGUUUAACCUGCUAUUGUACGUGUGUUGUUGCAUUUUCAUCAUCGUCUCUUGAUCUACAGUAGCGUGAAUGAGGUUCUUCCACCAGCGUUGGAUUCCACUUCUCAGCCACCACCCCUAUUUGACAGAACCACCACCCCUAUUUGACAGAACCAUAGCGUGAAUGAGGUUCUUCCACCAGCGUUGGAUUCCACUUCUCAGCCACCACCCCUAUUUGACAGAACCACCACCCCUAUUUGACAGAACCAGUUAUGCAUGAAAUACCAAUGCUCAUAUGCACAACGUGUUUGAUCACCAAGAAUUAUAAGGUGAAUGGUGCUUAUUCUGAACACAUUAAGGUGAUAUAAGUACUUAUAGUAGAGUGAUAUAAGUACUUAUAAUAUUUCUGUGGGUUUUUUCUUUGUUGUUAAAAGUUCAAAAGUUAGAGAUACGGAAGGAUGAGUGGAGAUACUUCGUCCAUUACUUUGGUUGGAAUACAAAGUUUAAUACAUGUCGAAUACCAAUUAUCGAUAAAAGAUGCAAGCUUUUAACGACAUUUUUUAAAACUCCCAUGAGAUUGCAACCCUUUGAAAGGUGCCUAAUUCCAGAAGGAUCGAAGGUUUGCUACUAUUUAGAAACAUUCACCUUAGUAUUUUAUCGAGCCGGAGAAGUUUGACCAAUCAAGAUUCGAGGUGGCAUAAGAUGGAAAUCCCAACGUUUUGUUCAUGUAUGUAUAAGAAAACUUCAUUAACCCAACUGCAGGCUAUCAUAUUUUAUGUUAAUCGAAAUUUAUUGUAUUUCUUAUGCUAAUAGUUAUGUAUUGAGAAAUAUUAUUAAAAUUUUA